rnacentral:lncRNA from 1 species
CUUCCAGGCGCUGCUGCCCCAACACAGGCGGGCACUCUCUGCGGGUCCCGCGGCUCCCGCGGCUUCCGGCCCACUCAGCGCCUCCAGAGGCCUCAGCCUCAGUUUCCUCACCUGGACAGUGGAGCUGAACCCACCCCCCACUAUCUGACCCUGCUCUCUGGGCUGUCUUUUGGGAACCCGCCCUGCUGAGGCCUGCUCCCCACCCUCCAUGGCUGUCAGCCCCCCAGGAGAAGAAUGUCUGCCAUAUGGAGGCUGCUGGCAGCAAAGGGAGAUGAACAAGCCAAGGUUGCCCGGCCUGCAUGCCGGCCCAGGGCUGCUGCUGUGUCUUGCCAUCAACCCUCCCCUGACACCCAGGAUGCCUGCCUCACCCAGAAGCACUCCUACGUCAGGCCUCUGAGGGGGAGCGCUUCAUGCCACUGUUAUCAAAAGAAGAAACCAUCGAAGCAGAAAGGCCAAUGCCACACUAGACAGCCAGGAGCCCAGCAGAACAAGUGGCCCCCUAAGGCACU